rnacentral:rRNA from 1 species
UACGGAGGGGGCAAGCGUUGUUCGGAAUCAUUGGGCGUAAAGGGCGCGUAGGCGGCCGUCCAAGUCGGGUGUGAAAUCCCUCGGCUCAACCGAGGAACUGCACUCGAUACUGGUUGGCUAGAGUCCGGGAGGGGAUGGUGGAAUUCCCAGUGUAGCGGUGAAAUGCGUAGAUAUUGGGAAGAACACCGGUGGCGAAGGCGGCCAUCUGGGCCGGAACUGACGCUGAGGCGCGAAAGCCAGGGGAGCGAAUGGG